rnacentral:rRNA from 1 species
AACGAACGCUGGCGGCAGGCCUAACACAUGCAAGUCGAACGCAUCCUUCGGGGUGAGUGGCGCACGGGUGAGUAACACGUGGGAAUGUAUCCUUUGGUUCGGAAUAACGUCUGGAAACGGACGCUAAUACCGGAUGAGCCCUUAGGGGGAAAGAUUUAUCGCCGAAGGAGCAGCCCGCGUCGGAUGAGGAAGUUGGUGGGGUAAAGGCCUACCAACCCGACGAUCCGUCGCUGGUCUGAGAGGAUGAGCAGCCACACUGGGACUGAGACACGGCCCAGACACCGACGGGAGGAGGCAGUGGGGUAUAUGGCACAACGGGCGCAAGCCUGAUCCAGCCAUGCCGCGUGAGCGAUGUAGGCCGUCGGGGUGUAAGACUCGUUCGCACACGACGAUGAUGACGGUAGUGUUAGAAGAAGCCCCGGGUAAGUUCGUGCCAGCCGCCGCCGUAAGAC